rnacentral:tRNA from 1 species
GACUCGAUAGCUCAGCUGGUAGAGCAACGGCCUUUUAAGCCGUGGGCCCUGGGUUCGAAUCCCAGUCGAGUCACAA